AUUGAACGCUGGCGGCAGGCCUAACACAUGCAAGUCGAGCGGAUGAAGGGAGCUUGCUCCUGGAUUCAGCGGCGGACGGGUGAGUAAUGCCUAGGAAUCUGCCUGGUAGUGGGGGAUAACGUCCGGAAACGGGCGCUAAUACCGCAUACGUCCUGAGGGAGAAAGUGGGGGAUCUUCGGACCUCACGCUAUCAGAUGAGCCUAGGUCGGAUUAGCUAGUUGGUGGGGUAAAGGCCUACCAAGGCGACGAUCCGUAACUGGUCUGAGAGGAUGAUCAGUCACACUGGAAAUGAGACACGGUCCAGACUCCUACGGGAGGCAGCAGUGGGGAAUAUUGGACAAUGGGCGAAAGCCUGAUCCAGCCAUGCCGCGUGUGUGAAGAAGGUCUUCGGAUUGUAAAGCACUUUAAGUUGGGAGGAAGGGCAGUAGUUAAUACCUUGCUGUUUUGACGUUACCAACAGAAUAAGCACCGGCUAACUUCGUG
rnacentral:rRNA from 1 species